AUCAUGAAAUUUUCUGUAUUGGUGUUGUGUAUACUCAGGUGAAUAUGAUUGUACACAACACCAACACAGAAAAUUUCAUGAU